AGUGAACGCUGGCGGUAGGCCUAACACAUGCAAGUCGAACGGCAGCACAGUAAGAGCUUGCUCUUACGGGUGGCGAGUGGCGGACGGGUGAGGAAUACAUCGGAAUCUACUUUUUCGUGGGGGAUAACGUAGGGAAACUUACGCUAAUACCGCAUACGACCUACGGGUGAAAGCAGGGGAUCUUCGGACCUUGCGCGAUUGAAUGAGCCGAUGUCGGAUUAGCUAGUUGGCGGGGUAAAGGCCCACCAAGGCGACGAUCCGUAGCUGGUCUGAGAGGAUGGUCAGCCACAUGGGAACGGAGACAGGGUCCAGACUCCUACGGGAGGCAGCAGUGGGGAAUAUUGGACAAUGGGCGCAAGCCUGACCCAGCGAGACCGCGUGUGUGAAGAAGGCCUUCGGGUUGGAAAGCCCUUUUGUUGGGAAAGAACAGCAGCAGGUUAAGACCCAGCUGUUCUGACGGUACCCAAAGAAUAAGCACCGGCUAACUUCGUG
rnacentral:rRNA from 1 species